AGAGCUCCCCCAGAAUCGUGCAGAAACCCCAAGUGUUCUUUCCAGCUCUGUCUGGUUCUGGGCUGAGCGGCUCAGACCAUGCCGCUAGCUCCUCUGGAUCUGUCUUCUGAAAAAUAAGGCCUAAUAGACGUGGCCUUCUGCAGAAAAGUUCUGGUGAGGAAUAAUGAGGAAUUACUGUAUCAACCCUUUCGACCAUCAAAGUGGUGAUGUAGCAAUAAUGAGCUUUGACCAGAAGCCCUCUGUUUCGUGGGGUAAUUGUUUUGAUUGCUCCUGUUCGUUAAUAAGCUGAUGCUGGAGUUGCAGGAAGACCGGAGGUAAGUGCUUUGGUGGUCUUGUGAGGCGGCCGAGCGGAGCGCGGGCUUUUGCAGCCGUGCAACACCGCCCUCUAUCGGCGCUCGGUUAUCAACACGCCGCUGAAGCCGUCAUGCUGAGCUGGGCGUCUGAGUCCCUCACGAGCCGAGGCCUGCGAGCUGGUGUGUGAUCCCCGGAACUGGACCACAAGGCAGAGGGCUCCAGCCUCACAGAGGGUGGUGCGUGUCCGUUAGAAAGCUGCUGAGCGGAAGUCCUCUUCUCUGGGAUUUUCAACAGCCCCAUUUCCCGUAGCUGACUUUCUGACAAGCCACGGGCAAGAAGGCAGAGGAUAAUUAAUUACUACCCCCGUGCAAGCCUCCAAAGAAAGAUAUUUAAUGGAACAAACUUCAGCAAUGCCCUCUCUCUGAGUUGCUCCACUGCAUGUGGAUAUGCUGUUUUCUUUUUGCUACCAAGUUCUCCUACUGAGCCAACCAAAGUCUCGGGGCCUGAGCCAGGAACAGGAGCACCAGCAUAUCGGUGAAGGAUUCCAUGCCGGCGAGUCACUGGAGACACAGGAUGGAAAAUGAAUCCAUCCAGUGGCCAGAGUUGGAACUACCUAGAAAUCUUCGGACUCCCUGCCUCUGGUUAGGACAGCCUGGUAGCAGUUGUUUUUAACUGUGCAGCACACAGCAUGACCCUGGACGCCCCAGGAUACUUUUCAUCAGAUUUUGCAGCAAGAAAGAUGUCCACGGAUGGGGCAAGAGCUGGCCUGGAUCCUAAAUGAUGAGAAUUUGCCUGCAUCAAGGGGGAAAGGACGGGCUUUCUCCAUGAGAGGCGCUGCAUUAAAGACGUGAAAGGAACGUCAUUUCAAGCCCCGGCUCUCCAGAGUACUGUGAACACAACUGAUGCAUUAAUGAUGACAGUAUUUCCUCCCUGCACACGGCUUAUUCACCGCAGGGUUCAUGGUGCUAAAAGGAGGAGAGAGAGAAAGGGCUUAAGAAAAUGUUUGAAGAGGUGAGAGCUGAAAACCUUCCUAACCUGGGAGAAAGAGUCACCAGAGGCCAGGAAGUCCCAAUUUCCACACAGGAUGAACCCAAAGAGUAGCACCGAAGGCAUAUUGCCAUCAAAGACAAAAAUUAAAGAUGAAGAGAGAACACUAAAAGCGGCAAGGGAAAAGCCGCAGGUGACAGACCAGGGAACUUCCAUAAGGCUCUCAGUUGAUUUUUUUCAGCAGAACUCUGCAGACCAGAAGGGAGUGGCACCAUAUAUUUAAAGUGAUGAAAAAGAAACACCCACACCCAAGAACACAUUGUUUUUGGUUAUGUUUUUUUGUUUUUGUUUUUGUUUUUUUUUUUAACCUGCGGACCCCUCUGCAGCUUCAAAGUAGGCUUCUUUGGAGAAUCCAUCAGUCCUUAACUGAAUCAGGGCACUAUUGGUAUGAAUUUUAGCCACUGAAUGGGAUCUUAGAGGCAAGAUGCAAUUCCAACUCAGUACACUAGAUGGUAGACAAUAACUAGUUUUUUCCCAAUCCCUUGCCAAAGGAAGGGAG